rnacentral:rRNA from 1 species
GUGGGGAAUUUUGGACAAUGGGCGAAAGCCUGAUCCAGCAAUGCCGCGUGUGUGAAGAAGGCCUUCGGGUUGUAAAGCACUUUUGGCAGGGAAGAAACAGUGCGUGCUAAUACCAUGCGCGAAUGACGGUACCUGCAGAAUAAGCACCGGCUAACUACGUGCCAGCAGCCGUGGUAAUACGUAGGGUGCAAGCGUUAAUCGGAAUUACUGGGCGUAAAGCGUGCGCAGGCGGCUUUGUAAGACGGAUGUGAAAGCCCCGGGCUCAACCUGGGAAGUGCAUUCGUGACUGCAAGGCUAGAGUGUGUAAGAGGGAGGUGGAAUUCCGCGUGUAGCAGUGAAAUGCGUAGAGAUGCGGAGGAACACCGAUGGCGAAGGCAGCCUCCUGGGAUAACACUGACGCUCAGGCACGAAAGCGUGGGGAGCAAACAGGAUUAGAAACCCGAGUAGUCC